UUAAGUUCAGCGGGUAGUCCUACCUGAUUUGAGAUCAAACGUUCAAGAAGCUGUCUUCACUGAGGAGAGACAUUUAUGAGCCUCGAGAGACCUCCAUCACUGAAGGUUAUCCGGUAGAAAACCACAAGCGUAGAUAGUUAUCACACCUGCGACGCUACCAAACACUGGCGAGCUGAUUUGUUUGAGAGGAGCCGACCACU
rnacentral:misc_RNA from 1 species